AUCUCUGUUGGGCCCGGUGCACUGUGGGGCAGGUGCCCAGCUGUGCAUUACCCUGUGCUGUGGGGCAGGUGCCCAGCUGUGCAUUACCCUGUGCUGUGGGGCAGGUGCCCAGCUGUGCAUUACCCUGUGCUGUGGGGCAGGUGCCCAGCUGUGCAUUACCCUGUGCUGUGGGGCAGGUGCCCAGCUGUGCAUUACCCUGUGCUGUGGGGCAGGUGCCCAGCUGUGCAUUACCCUGUGCUGUGGGGCAGGUGCCCAGCUGUGCAUUACCCUGUGCUGUGGGGCAGGUGCCCGGCUGUGCAUUACCCUGUGCUGUGGGGCAGGUGCCCAGCUGUGCAUUACCCUGUGCCGUGCA